rnacentral:rRNA from 1 species
CGUUAGCGGCGGACGGGUGAGUAACACGUGGAUAACCUACCUAUAAGACUGGGAUAACUUCGGGAAACCGGAGCUAAUACCGGAUAACAUAUUGAACCGCAUGGUUCAAUAGUGAAAGGCGGCUUUGCUGUCACUUAUAGAUGGAUCCGCGCCGUAUUAGCUAGUUGGUAAGGUAACGGCUUACCAAGGCAACGAUACGUAGCCGACCUGAGAGGGUGAUCGGCCACACUGGAACUGAGACACGGUCCAGACUCCUACGGGAGGCAGCAGUAGGGAAUCUUCCGCAAUGGGCGAAAGCCUGACGGAGCAACGCCGCGUGAGUGAUGAAGGUCUUCGGAUCGUAAAACUCUGUUAUCAGGGAAGAACAAAUGUGUAAGUAACUGUGCACAUCUUGACGGUACCUGAUCAGAAAGCCACGGCUAACUACGUGCCAGCAGCCGCGGUAAUACGUAGGUGGCAAGCGUUAUCCGGAAUUAUUGGGCGUAAAGCGCGCGUAGGCGGUUUUUUAAGUCUGAUGUGAAAGCCCACGGCUCAACCGUGGAGGGUCAUUGGAAACUGGAAAACUUGAGUGCAGAAGAGGAAAGUGGAAUUCCAUGUGUAGCGGUGAAAUGCGCAGAGAUAUGGAGGAACACCAGUGGCGAAGGCGACUUUCUGGUCUGUAACUGACGCUGAUGUGCGAAAGCGUGGGGAUCAAACAGGAUUAGAUACCCUGGUAGUCCACGCCGUAAACGAUGAGUGCUAAGUGUUAGGGGGUUUCCGCCCCUUA